AUUGAACGCUGGCGGCAGGCCUAACACAUGCAAGUCGAACGAGUGGCGGACGGGUGAGUAAUGUCUGGGAAACUGCCUGAUGGAGGGGGAUAACUACUGGAAACGGUAGCUAAUACCGCAUACCAUCGGAUGUGCCCAGAUGGGAUUAGCUAGUAGGGGAGGUAAUGGCUCACCUAGGCGACGAUCCCUAGCUGGUCUGAGAGGAUGAUCAGCCACACUGGGACUGAGACACGGCCCAGACUCCGACGGGAGGCAGCAGUGGGGAAUAUUGCACAAUGGGCGCAAGCCUGAUGCAGCCAUGCCGCGUGUAUGAAGAAGGCCCUAGGGUUGUAAAGUACUUUCAGUCGGGAGGCGUUACCGACAGAAGAAGCACCGGCUAACUCCGUGCCAGCAGCCGCGGUAAUAC
rnacentral:rRNA from 1 species